rnacentral:rRNA from 1 species
GGGGAAUAUUGGACAAUGGGGGCAACCCUGAUCCAGCAAUGCCGCGUGUGUGAAGAAGGUUUUCGGAUUGUAAAGCACUUUCGACGGGGACGAUGAUGACGGUACCCGUAGAAGAAGCCCCGGCUAACUUCGUGCCAGCAGCCGCGGUAAUACGAAGGGGGCUAGCGUUGCUCGGAAUGACUGGGCGUAAAGGGCGUGUAGGCGGUUUGUACAGUCAGAUGUGAAAUCCCCGGGCUUAACCUGGGAGCUGCAUUUGAUACGUGCAGACUAGAGUGUGAGAGAGGGUUGUGGAAUUCCCAGUGUAGAGGUGAAAUUCGUAGAUAUUGGGAAGAACACCGGUGGCGAAGGCGGCAACCUGGCUCAUAACUGACGCUGAGGCGCGAAAGCGUGGGGAGCAAACAGGAUUAGAUACCCUGGUAGUCCACGCUGUGAACGAUGUGUGCUAGAUGUUGGGUAACUUAGUUAUUCAGUGUCGCAGUUAACGCGUUAAGCACACCGCCUGGGGAGUACGGCCGCAAGGUUGAAAC